CCGAUUGUAGGUAGUCCCAGUACCAAUUUAACAUUCUCUGUGAGGAAUGGUCAUGGUAGUCCCCAUAUUCGAUCAGAUUUUGAGUACAUGCGUCGCGGCAUUGUUGGUGCCUUUAAGGAUGAGCUAAGCCACAAAACUUUGAGUACACUGGACAAUUGGACAGCAGAUAAUUUGAAAAUAUAUGAUGUUACUUUGGAGGACAUAUUUGGAACAGUUUAGUGUACAAAAAUACCUAUCCAAAGAUCAAACAUUUAUUUCCAAGAAAAAUGUUGUCUAACUUUUAUUUCUGCACAAUAUUAUGUAAAAAUUGGAUUCUA